rnacentral:rRNA from 1 species
GUUUCCUACGGGGGGCAGCAGUGGGGGAUAUUGCACAAUGGGGGGAACCCUGAUGCAGCGACGCCGCGUGGGUGAAGGAGUGCUUCGGCAUGUAAAGCCCUCUCGGCAGGGAAGAAGCAAGACGGUACCUGACUAAGAAGCCCCGGCUAACUACGUGCCAGCAGCCGCGGUAAUACGUAGGGGGCGAGCGUUAUCCGGAUUCACUGGGUGUAAAGGGAGCGUAGACGGCCAUGCAAGCCAGGGGUGAAAGCCCGGGGCCCAACCCCGGGACUGCCCCUGGAACUGCAUGGCUUGU